UACAGAGGUCCCAAGCGUUACUGAGAAUCACUGGGUUUAAAGGGUGCGUAGGUGGUCCGUUAAGUCAGUUGUGAAAUCCCCGGGCUCAACCCGGGAACUGCUUCUGAUACUGGCGGACUUGAGGCCAGUAGGGGUCACUAGAACUGACGGUGGAGCGGUGAAAUGCGUAGAUAUCGUCAGGAAUGCCGGUGGUGAAGACGGGUGACUGGGCUGGUUCUGACGCUGAGACACGAAAGCCAGGGGAGCGAACGGG
rnacentral:rRNA from 1 species